rnacentral:rRNA from 1 species
CGCCAGACUCCUACGGGAGGCAGCAGUGGGGAAUAUUGCACAAUGGGGGGAACCCUGAUGCAGCGACGCCGCGUGAGUGAAGAAGUAUUUCGGUAUGUAAAGCUCUAUCAGCAGGGAAGAAAAUGACGGUACCUGACUAAGAGGCCCCGGCUAACUACGUGCCAGCAGCCGCGGUAAUACGUAGGGGGCAAGCGUUAUCCGGAUUUACUGGGUGUAAAGGGAGCGUAGACGGUCGAUUAAGUCUGGAGUGAAAGGUACCGGCUCAACCGGUAUAGGCUCCGGAAACUGAUGGACUGGAGUACAGGAGAGGGUGGCGGAACUCCAUGUGUAGCGGUAAAAUGCGUAGAUAUAUGGAAGAACACCGGUGGCGAAGGCGGCCGCCCGGACUGUAACUGACGCUGAGGCACGAAAGCGUGGGGAGCAAAUAGGAUUAGAUACCCUUGUAU